rnacentral:rRNA from 1 species
CGCUGGCGGCAGGCCUAACACAUGCAAGUCGAGCGCACCUUCGGGUGAGCGGCGGACGGGUUAGUAACGCGUGGGAAUAUACCCAAAGGUACGGAAUAGCCUCUGGAAACGGAGAGUAAUACCGUAUGUGCCCUUCGGGGGAAAGAUUUAUCGCCUUUGGAUUAGCCCGCGUAAGAUUAGAUAGUUGGUGGGGUAAUGGCCUACCAAGUCUACGAUCUUUAGCUGGUUUGAGAGGAUGAUCAGCAACACUGGGACUGAGACACGGCCCAGACUCCUACGGGAGGCAGCAGUGGGGAAUCUUAGACAAUGGGCGCAAGCCUGAUCUAGCCAUGCCGCGUGAGUGACGAAGGCCUUAGGGUCGUAAAGCUCUUUCGCCAGAGAUGAUAAUGACAGUAUCUGGUAAAGAAACCCCGGCUAACU